GAACAGUUGUCAAAAUAUUGAUCACAUUGAUUGCGGUGAUUUGCAGUAAGCAGCCAUAUGCCAUCCGAUGUCAAGGCUCAGCUUCUUCUGGCAUCAUUGAAUUUUUAGUAAACUUCAUAAGGCGUGAAGUUCCCUUUUGUGUCAAACACCUAACAAUUAACGGCCUCUCUUAUUUUGAUCAAGAGAGAAUUCCUGACGUCCCAGUUAAAGAGCUUCAAAGCUAAAGAGCUUUUCCCCAGUUACUGACAAAGUAAACAUCUCCUACGUCGGCUAGAUCCGUACACUGAGCACCGCCACCGCAAGCAGUAAGCAUAAGUCUCUUACCGCUGACAGUAAGGAGUGCUUAUCAUGUUUGAAGGAACUUACAACGAAAAGCAGAGGACCUUUGCAUUUCCGAGAUACAUGGCAAAACACGAUGGUUAUUAAAUCGGCGGACUAAAUGGCGAUAGAGAGCAACACUUUGGAUUUUGAGGAAACCAUAAGGCUCGGAGAAGCGAUAUGAGCAACAUCGCUCUGGAAAGUUCCACUGAUUCCACUAUCAACGCACUGAUCUUUUCCUUUGCGUCGGCUGUUUUCGAUGCUUUUCCCUUCCUUCUGCAAUCACGCAGUUCUGUAUUCCUUAUUUCGUUUCACUAAAGAUUGCUCAUUGCUUAAGCUAGAUCUGCCAUUGUGUUCCUCGAAUAAAAUUGGAAAAAGCUCACAAACUUUUUCUUGUGAAAAGCUCACACUCCCUAUCUUCGAAAAUUAGAAUAUUAGGGAACUAGAACAGACUGAUUAACUAUCAUGUAGGUGUUUUACAUUCUGCUGAGAAUGGACAAUCACUUCUUUUGUGGAAAUUGUGGGAAGACAAGGGAUAGGCGGCUUUAUUUUGGCAAAUUUAAUUCACUUGAAAAAUGUAAAUGAAAAUGUUUUUUAAACAAACGAAGAGAAAGUUGUGAUUAUAUUCCAGUACCUGCAUCCAGCAGUUCAACUAAAAAAGCACCAAACAGAUGAAGGUGAGAUAGCAUCGCAACUUGGUUAACGAUAGAAUGCAAUAAAGUCCAUCGAAUAGGUUUUUUUCAAGAAUCAUUCACUUCAAGUAUAAUUUAAUUGCACAUUCUGUCCAUCGUCGACCAGUGAAUAAUUCAAACGAUUCAUCGACAAAACAAACGUAGGCAUGAGGAAAAUGAAUGAAGGAUUGUGAACAAAUGAAUAAACGGAUAUAAUUUCCUGA